AAGCAGUUCCAGCCGCACUGCGGUUUUAUUUGGUUUCUCCAACACAAGAUACAAACAUGGUUCUGUGCGGAUCCUAGUUACCUCAUUACUUAACUGAAAUAUUUGUGACAAAACAAGGACUGAAGGAACAACCAUGUGGAGUAAUGACACUUCACUCACAGGGUGGACGACCAGCCUUAUCACAUAUGGAGUGGAGAACCCGCGCGAUGGCCUCAACGACAGCUCGGCAGAGGAGGGGCAGGCGCCCCCGGAGUUGCCGGAAUGGUUGGUGAAGUUGGACCUGGCAACCACUCUUCUUAUGAAUUUUAACACAGUCACCCUCAUGUUGGGCAUGGGCGCCGCCACCUACUGGAAGGAGUUUUGGGAGCAUAUGAGACGUCCAUGGGCGUGCCUCGUGGGAAUGACAUGUCAAUUCGUGCUGCUACCUGCCGUGGGCUUCGGUCUAUGCCUCGCCUUCCAUCUACUGCCGUACGAAGCUCUGGGUGUCCUUAUUCUUACCUGUUGCCCAGGCGGAGCGUUUUCAAAUUUCUUCACUUUCUGGGUUGACGGCGAUCUCGCUCUCAGUAUUAUGAUGACGGCGCUGUCCUCCAUGCUGGCGUUUGGGGUAAUGCCACUCAACAUUUGGCUCUACUCCUCGCGCUGGACAAAUCAAGAAUUGCAGGUCCCUUACGUCAAAAUCCUCAUCAGCUUGGUUAUCGUCACAUUGCCAGUCGUCGCCGGUAUGGUGAUCCGUCACUGUACCAGGAAGUGGGCUAAUCACAUUUCCAAGGUGUGCAGCGUGUUGGGAUGGGCUGGAGCCCUCACCUGUGGGGCACUCCUCAUGCUCAGAUACUGGACUACAAUCGUAAGGUCCUCCAUAUACCUCGUCAUCAUCGCUGCACUUACACCCCUCUCAGGGUUUCUGGUGGCAUACAUUAUGGUCAAGGCCCUCUGUUUUAGCCACAAGAUCUGCCGGACGGUGGCUAUUGAGACGGGUUGCCAAAACAUGGUGGUGGCAACCAGCAUCAUCCUGCUCUCCUUCACUGACCCAGAGGUGAGAGGUCAGAUGGUGCUGUUUCCCGUGCUGUACGGACUGUGCCAGCUGGCAGAGGUUCUGGUGGCCACUGGACUGUUUCAGAUGUGGAUCUUCGCUCACCGCCACGACGUAACGGAGGAAGAAAUUACCUCUGUCGUGGAUACUUCUGUGCUCACCAGCAUCCCCGUUCCCGCCCACAAACUGUCCCAGGCCAGCAUGAAGCAGAUGGUGGACUAUUCGACGGUGCCUAAUGUGUGCAACGGUCUAGGACCCCCUCGCCGUUAUCAGGAAACCUCUGGGUAUUGGCGGUUCCCAGACAUCGAAGAAUGGCGUGAGCCUGAGGACAACCAAGCUUUCCUCCUCCAGCCCUCAGAAAUACUGUGGGAUGAUCGGACUCCUGGCACUCCACCUGUGACCCCAAACCGGUUCAGCCCUCAUGACCUAGAGUUCACGACCGACUACCCCCAAGAAGACUCAACUGAUCUCGAUCCAUUUUCUGAUAGCGUGUUGGAGAGUGCUCGCAGCUAUGACUCUGAUGGACCCUGCAGUCCCACCCUCAGUAACAAAGGUGUCCCAAACAUGUUUCCUGUGACAGAAAGUGACUUCCAGAAUAAUUUUCUGUCAGACGGGGAGGAUUCCCCCCUGCCCUAUGGCAGCCCUCUUCCCUCUGGCAGAAAACAGCUGGACCGUACACAUGUAGAGUGCAGUCCAGCCAACACCUCACCCACGUCUCCCCCUAGUCCAGAGCCGCACGCCCGUCCAUUCACCUUUUAUCACCGAGACGUUCGUCUCGGGCAGACACAACAAUUCAGUACGUUUGGGAGAAAAUAGUGAAGCAGUUCAGAAUGAUUAUUUUCAUAUGAAUGUGUUGUUUGUUCGAACAAAGGGAGAACUAUAAAGUUAAAGAUGUGGACGUGAAGUGGAUCAAGGAUGAGUUUUUUGUUGGGAGGGUCUCCAUCGCGCAUCAGUACCGUGACGCCACAGAGUGACAUAAUAGAGGGGACAGUAUGACAGUAAAGAAAUUUACGUGGGAAAUAUGAGUGAUUGCGCGGAUGUCAUUUAGAAGCUUCGGGCUUGGUAGCUGGUUGGUAUACAACUGUAGCUUAGCGCAAAUUAUGAGGUAGUCCUCUAAUUCCAGGCAGGCACAGCAGCCAGCCUGGACAUUAUCAGCAUUUGACACACAUGACACGCAGACACACAACUGAACUAUGAUGAGACACUGCACUCGGGAGGAAAGAAAAGGAAAGGGAGAGUAGGGCGCCUGCUCCCUUCAGAUAAUAAAUACACGGACAAGAAAAUAGAAUACUGUGCAUGAAACUCGUCCGUCACACAAGAGUAGCAGCAGGCAGAGCCACAAAUGCUCUUAUUCACGUACCAGGCUUUCUUUAACCUCUGGCCUCCCAUAGGACCUUAGACUGAAUACUACUACUACUAUUACUACUUCUACUACUACUACUACUACUACUAUUACUACUACUACUAAUAAUAAUAAUAAUAAGCGUGAUAUAGCAAAAAAUCUCAUCCUUAAGUAUAAAUAAUCCUCCUGACCACCACCGGCGCUGGAUCAACAGACUGGCACACAUCACAGUCAGCAACAAUAGCGUGCACCUACCGCUUGGUAACCUCAGGAAUUACUCGCUUCUUGAAGUAAAGUGUGUGCUUUAUCCCUGGAUGACCAGCAGUGUGAUGAAUUUCCGUGAUCUUGUCAGUAUUGGUUACCUCGCUGCUGGCAGCACAUACAGGAUGCUCAGCUGUAAGGUGGGUGGCGGAAGCUUUCAGCCAACGCUGUGGCACAUGCGUCAGACUGUCUGCCUUGUUGUUGAUGGAAGGUACAAGGGUAACAGACAACUGAAGGCCGCACUCCUCGAUCAGCAACAGCACUAUCCCAAUUGUUCUUCAAAUGAGCAUCUCGCUUGCCGCUUUGGCCUCAAGUCUACUCCUUCCUGAGAUGCCAUCAAAGAUCCAGCUUUGUACCGCUGACGAGCCUAUGACUGCUCAAGGACCCACCUUCCUGGUUUCAUCAUCAGGAUACCUCCAGAAGCGUAGGUGCAUUCCACUCAAUACACACCAUCGCCUGUUCCAUGCUCCAUAACCACCCACAUCCUCAAACAUAGUGAGGAAGCCACGC